AGAGGCACACGUGCUGUGCCCUUCCGACAAGAACUGUUAUCUUCUCCCCAUUUCCUUUCCCAAACCAACACAAGAACCAAAACCCUUUUCUCUCUUUUCCUCCUCCCCUUCUCUCUCAUGCCAAAAAUCGCAACCUAGCUGCCCGUUGCAGCCAUAGAUGCCACAGAUCUGCAAAGAUCCCAUCACAAAAUGGCCUCUUCCUACCCCAAAAACCAAAAACCAGAAAAAGCAAAGCUCCAAAUUCAUACAACAACAGAGAAUCGUUUAGAAUCCGCCAUUAAUGGCCUGCAAAAUUUGCUGAUAAGGGGGAUUCGGCUCAACAGCUUAAAUUCAAAAACAUCUCUGUACCCGUUUUUAUUUUUAUUUUCAAAUUCGAACUUAAGGUCCGGAUUUGCGCCUAUAAAUGGUGUCUUCAACACCUCUAGAGAGGGGCGUGAAAAAAGGGAGAGAAAACGAAAAAAAAAUAUUCAAGAUUGAGAGAGCAACAAAAAUCAGUGAAAAAAAAAGAAUUUUUUUAUUUGUCUUUAGGGGGUUCAUGAGAAAACUAAGGAAAAAAAGAAGCAAAGUCCAAGGAAAAGGUAUGAAAAUCAGUUAAAAAAAAAAGAGAAGAGUGAAAAUCAAUGGAUAAAUAAGUCUAGGGAAGUAAGCAAAUUUCGCCGAAGAAAUUCCAACUUUACUGUUCUUCUUUCUGAAUUUUGUCCGAGACAAAGUCCUACGAGUGAAUUUGCUGGCCGGAAAUUCUCGACGUAAAAGCUUCAAUUACGCUGCCCGACAAAAGGUGCGAACUCACCUCUUGCUUUCUCUUUCUCUUUCUCUUUUAUUUUAGUUUCAUGAAUACCUAAGAUUGUCUAAAUUUGGAUCAAAUCUAUGUUGUUGUUGUAGUUUUAAACUUUUGUAACUUUUCAUAAAAGAGGAUCGUAUACACCCUUGCAGAAAACGUGUAUAUAUGUGAGUGUUUAUGCUAUUGUAACCAACAUGAUGAAACUGCCAUUUGUAUGCGAAUUUCAAUCUCAACCAGUUCAGUGAUUUGAAACAAUAUGCAUCACUUUCAAGUUCGUUGGAAAACACUUGGACCUUCUUUAGCCAUGUGGGUCUUUAUGUGAUGGUUACGAAAGGAGAUGCUAAUUCACGGCUGUAAGGUUUUAGUUUCAGUGUGUGUUUAACCAUUCGUGGUUUUUAUUUUUUAAAAAAAAAAUUGUUCUUAAUCAUUUUGUGUUGGUACAGUACAUGGAUGUUAGUUUAAAAAACAGUGUGUUUCCAUGGCUAAUCUUUUCACGGCUACCAUUUUGAACUUAGUUUAAAAAAUAGUGUGUUUCCUUUUUGUGUUUCCAUGGCUAAUGCUAAUUCACGGCUAUAAGGUUUUGUGUUUCAGUGUUUGUUCUUAAUCUUUUCACGAUGGUCCAUGGCUACCAUUUUUGACUUAGUUUAAAAAAUAGUGUGUUUCCUUUUUAAUUUGGCGAAGGGUGACGGGAGUACAUGGUCUACAAUAUAAUUUUAACAAUAUCGAUGUGUCAUUCGAGUCAAGGUCCUUUCAAAAACCUCCUUUCCACCUCUUCGAGGUACAUGGUUAUUUUAAUGCAUCUUUAUUUCCCGUAAAUGGUAGUGUUUGGGUAAUUAUUUUUUUUUAAAAGGGUUGAUCUCCUCUUUUCUUAACAACUGUACCCACUUACUCAUAUUAGUAGAAAUUUGCUUUUGUAGGUAUAUUUGAGUAACAACUUUUCUCAAAUUUGAGUUAAGUUUUCUUUUUGGGAUUUUAAGGUUCAAAACUUGCCAUUCCCCUGCUGACAUUAUCCCGUCCUUAUGAAUGACUCACUAAGUUUAUAUAUGGUUUGUUUGCUUUCUCAUAGGACUCUACUUUGCUUACGCAUCUUCCAAGCUUUAUGUUAUGCGUGCAGCUGUUUUCCUUUACUGAUUUUCUUAGUAAUAAAAGGGAGUAACAAAUAAAGAAGUCGGUUUAUUUAUUAUCGUUACUUGGCGAAAAAUCCAGCCAACACGGGUCUAUUAGAUGUAUCUAUGUGUGGCUGUGCUGCCCCUUUUGCAUAAACCGAGCUUAAAAGGAAAAAUAGUUUCAUCAUUUUGUUGCACUCCGAGACUUGUGUCCCUCUUUCCGUUUGUUGUGUGGAUUUUGUAAAUAUCGAAUUUGCUUACUUCAAGCUCAUACUAGUGUUGUUGUUAGUUGGUCACCAAUUAAGUCCAAUAAUAUAAUAAUUUGCUUAAGUUUCUUCUUGUCUGUGAGCAUGGUUGAAUAAUUCAUAUAACGGCUCACAUCACUUUAGCCUAAAAAUUUAACUUCGAUUUAUAUAUUUCUAACUUAUACUCAUGUAGGGAAUUGACUCUAGGGAAUUAACUAAGGCGGCAUAAGAAUUUUCUUAAGUAUAGGGAUACCAUUUAAGGGUAACAUCCGAUAUGUCAUUCAUGCAUGUGCAACCUCUUUUUGAUGGAAUUCCUAGCUAACGUAAUGAUAAUCUGGUAUUUGGCUCCAUUCUUGGUUUUUGUUUUUGCUACGCACAUAUUUUAUUUGAGUAGUCACUAAUCCUUAUCUUUUCUUUCUUUUACAUGCCCGGUUGGGAGUUCCGCCACGGGACUCGUCUCGACCCGACUAAUCGGGUCAACCGCUAUAGGAUUGUCCACCUUCAGAGUUUACGCCGUUAGGGAUUGGUACCUCCCUAAGGAACUUGGCCGUGUCUAACCUUUGCUCUCUCUAUAUCUCUUAUCAUUGUUAUCUACUCUUCUAACUCUGUAUUUACUCGAAUAUUCAUUUGGUAUGAAUUGUUCGGUGUUGAAUGAACCUUGUAUUCAUUCGAUUUUGUUUAGCUAUAAUUGUCUAGGAUUGAUUUUAUUAGCUAUUUCUACCUAAAAUGCUAGUUUUAGUAUAAAACACGUCUCUUGAAAAGUGUAAAAACUGCAGUUUUUUUUUUUAUGCAUGCGUGCAGAUUUUUAAGAUAAAAAAUACUGUUUUCCUAGGCUUUAAGGUGUGGCCAUUUUAGUAUGUAACUGCAGAUUUUUAAGUGUAUCAAGAUGCAAUUUCAGCAGUAGCUAAUACCACAUAUUUGAGGCCAAAAUUUACAACAAUUCAAGGGUAAAAAAUGCAGAUUUUUUAUGAGAAAAACAAGCUGUUCCUUGAACUCGACACGUAUAUUAUUAAACGUCAAAUAUUGUCUCUUUUUUUUUUCUUUUCAAGUGAGGAAACCUUUUUUAAAAUAGGUAAUGGUCAAUUUGAAGCUAAGAACGCAGUUUUAAUUUUUUCUAGAGUUUGAAAGUGGUUCUCUAAAGUAUAACAACGUAGUUUUCAAGAGUUAAAGUACUUUUGUAAAGGAAAAGCAACUUAGUUGGGCUUUGAUGUAGUUUGUUGUGAACUAAAUUUGUAAAGGUACUUGUCGCAAAAUGAACAUCUUUGUCUCAAUUCAACAUUAGUUUUGUAUAUUAAAUGCUUUAUUUUUCAACAUUCGUUUCGAGUUUUCAGAUUUCAAAGGGUUAGAAACACAAGGUAUAUAUGUGUUACGCUACCCUAUACGAGGUAUAUCUUAUUAUUUUCCUACUAUUAUGAUAAUUAUUUUCAUCUUUAUUAGUACUAUCCUUAUCACUAAUAAUUAUUUAUUUUAUCACUGCCAUUACCAUCAUUAUUACUAUUAGUUGCUAUUAUUAUUAUUAUUAUUAUCAUUAUUACCACUAUCAUUAUUAUUAUUAUUACUAUUAUUAUUGUUGUUGUUGUUGUUGCUGCUGUUGUUGUUGUGUUCACAAUCUAUCACCUAUUUUUUGCACUAAUACAUUCGGCAAGUAAAUUCUCACGCUACAAUAUAAUUACCUAUUCCAUAAAUAAUUCUAGUUAACUAUUUUAAUUCACAUACUUUUUAAAUUCUCUUACAAAACUAUACGACUUUAAACUCUCUAACAUAUAGAAAUUAUGUUAUCAUUCUUUUUAUAUUUUAAAAAAAUGCAUGCAUAUUUUCGUAAUAAUUACAUUAUUUCCUUAUACAUGGCAGUGUCAUGUUUGCUAUACCUAGAAUUUUCUUCUAAGUUAAUAAUAACAAAAUUUCUCAUUACCGUUUUAAGCAAAUAACGGAUUAAAAGUUUUUCCUAAAUAUUUUCCUAAACUAAGCGUAAGGACUAUCUUCGGAUAGGCCUUGAGGGGUGCCUAAUACCUUCCCCUCGGGUAAUCAAAACCUUUACUCAGAAUCUCUAAAUAUUUUCGAAAAACCUAAACAGUGUUUUACAAUAAAAAUAGUUUUUUCCUAAUUUUCCUAAAAAGUUAGGCGGUGAAUCUAAAUAUAAAUUUUUAAUGCCAAAAGUCACGACAUACCACCAUACAUCGUGUGCUAUUUCGACCGGUUCGAAACUAGGCUCGACAAGUGGAAAUAAGCUGAACGAGGACCAGAAGUUUAAGUGUUGUUUACUGUGAUUCUUGCACACUAUGUCGCUUGAAAAAGAUUCGACGAAGGUUGUCGACACAAAACUGAUUAAAAUGGUCGAUUCUUUGAGUUUCUUCGAGAAUUAUCUGUGGGAGAAAUAGAUAUUUCAAUAGACCAUGGACUAUCUGAAGAAGAAAAGUGACCUGAAGAAGCAAAGGAAAGUAUUUGAUGAGAAGAAGAAGGCAUCCUAUGCUCUAUUCGGAUUUCCUUGGGCAUUCAUGAUUUGAAUCUAUGAGGCCUUUCCUCAUCUUGAAAAAUUUGUUAGAAAAUCUAUAAAUGAGGUCGUUCUCAUUCCCCGCAUCCUCAGUUGGCACACUAUAAAAAGUGACAAGAUAAUCGAAGGCGACCUAUUCAAGUAUAAAGGAAAAGUUACUGAGAACGCACACCUAUACAUCAUCUCUACUAUUCGUGAGACGAAGAUGGAAUACAUGAUUACGUUUAAGACAUAUACGGAUGUGGUGAAGAAUAAUGUCCUCGAUGGCUUGAAGAAAGAGUUAAAAGGAGUGACUGUCCUUACUUCAAAUGAGGACAGUGAUGACGAGGGGAAUAUGGGUGGUAACCCCGUUGGAACACACAUUGGUGAUGAUGCUUCUCCGAGCACCUCUAAAGAUGCAGCGGGCACCUCAUCCCCUGGGGAUCUUCAUAAGCGUGUUGCUGUGCUCGAGGAAAUGUUGUUGGAUAUUGUUGUCCAUAUCAGAGAGAAGACUGAAGAAAAAGGAAAAGGAUGAGCGACAACACGAGCGAGUGCAUGUAAAAGAGCAAAAUAGAUGAGUUGUCCACUGUUGUGGCAGAAAAGAAAGAAAAAAAAAAAGAAAAGAAGGAUGAAGAGGAAGAAAUGGAA